ACACUCCUGCGGGAGGCAGCAGUGGGGAAUUUUGGACAAUGGGCGAAAGCCUGAUCCAGCCAUGCCGCGUGCAGGAUGAAGGCCUUCGGGUUGUAAACUGCUUUUGUACGGAACGAAACGGCCUUUUCUAAUAAAGAGGGCUAAUGACGGUACCGUAAGAAUAAGCACCGGCUAACUACGUGCCAGCAGCCGCGGUAAUACGGAGGGUGCAAGCGUUAAUCGGAAUUACUGGGCGUAAAGCGUGCGCAGGCGGUUAUGUAAGACAGUUGCGAAAUCCCCGGGCUCAACCUGGGAACUGCAUCUGUGACUGCAUAGCUAGAGUACGGUAGAGGGGGAUGGAAUUCCGCGUGUAGCAGUGAAAUGCGUAGAUAUGCGGAGGAACACCGAUGGCGAAGGCAAUCCCCUGGACCUGUACUGACGCUCAUGCACGAAAGCGUGGGGAGCAAACAGGAUUAGAAACCCUUGUAGUCC
rnacentral:rRNA from 1 species